AAACUAUCAAGAACUGCUGUGUCAGAUUGUCAAGGGGAGAUGAGAGAUGGUUGUACAAAUUUUAUUAAAUUACACAUACUCUUUUGUUACAAUUCCAUGUCUUAGAAUCAUAGGGUUUUCAACUUAAUAGAUGUGUGGUAGUCAUUUAUUUUAACUUAGGAGUUGUUGGCAUGAUCCAAGCUUUAUAUUAAAUUAAGUGUAAACUGUUUUUCUAUUAUCUUGACAUCAUGGACCUACUAUGUCACAUGGAACUUCAUGAAGUGAGUCUGGUGACAUUCUCUUCCUUUAGUAAUUGUUAACACUUGAGAGAGAUAUUUGUUAUAUACACUUCUGCAAUUUACAAUUUUCUCCACCAUUUGAGGAGCAUGCUCCAUGGAGUCUCAAGUAGUAAUCUGGGGCUAGAGAGAUGGCUCAGUGGUUAAAAGCACUGACUACUUACUCUUCCAGAAGGCCUGAGUUCAAUUCCCAGCAACCACGUGGUGACUUACAAUCAUCUGUAAUGGAUCUGAUGUUCUCUUCUCGUAUGUCUGAAGAUAGCUACAGUGUACUCAUAUAAAUAAAACAAAUAUUAAUUUUUAAAAAAAGUAGUAUCUAUGAUUUUUACUGUUCUAGCUCCAUGGUUACUUGAUGUUGGAUACUAAGUUUAAUAAAUACAUGUUGAAGGAAUUAUUUUUAAAACAGGUUUCCUGUCACCUGAUUCUAUCAAAAUCUUCCUUAUUCUUAAAGAGGUUUACUCAGAGAGUAUUGUAAAUUAAUCUUUCUAUAAAAGUGAAACUAAUAUGUCUUCAUUUCUCUUGCUUAUACUUAUUCCAAUUUCAUUUGCUCUUUUGCAUGCUAAUUGUAUGAAUACUACCUUAAUAUAUGAGAAAGUAUCAAUAUUCAAUCAUUUUAUAUAAAAAUGUAGUUUACCAUAAAUCCUAUUUAUGUAAGAAUUGUAUAUUUUUAUCUAUCUAUCUGUCUCUCUAUCAUAUGUCUAUCAUAUGUCUUUUAAGCUACAAUAGAAUGACGUGUAUUGACUCAUUACUUGCAAGAUGGUAAUCUUCAAAGAUAGAAGCAUAGGACAUCAAAAGAAGAAAUGGUCAAGAAGCAUUUGCAUGGGGAGGUCACUCUACUAAGUUUAGGUAACUAGAAUUCUAUGAAUGUCCUGAUGGUGGACUUAUCCAUACUGUUUCAUGAAAAGGUGAUUCGACGAAUAUAUUAAUCAGCUCAGUCUUCUGUAAGAAGACUUAUUCUGUUAAUCACGGUAUGUGAUGUGUUUCUUAUCAUCUUAAGCUCAGUCCUCAUUAAUAGAGUAAAAUUUUUUUUUAAUUUAUGUAACUUUUACUUAUUCGCUUUACAAGCCACUCACUGCCCCUCUCCCACAAUCCUCUGUGUCUCGCCCUCCUCUUCUCCAGAGUGAUCAUUUUUAAAAGAAGCUGUGUGGGUUUUAUUUAACGUUCUGCAACGUGAUGCUUAAAAUUUGGAAAGUGUAUUCGAACCCAUGCCACAACGUUUUGCAUUUGAGUCACAGCUAUAUCGCUUCUGCAAACACAGAGACAUCUGUGUAUAACAUAGCGGCCUGCUAAUGAAAAUGAAUGGCCUUGGAAAAUAAGGCUAUUAUUCACUUGAUUUCCUUCUCAGAGGUAUUCAUUUGAGUAGCAAAAAAUAACAGUUUUUUUUUUCUUUGCAUGAUGAAGCUAGCCCCAGGGCUGGGUAAAUCAAAAUAGAAAAUUGAUACAGAUCCAUGUAGUACAAGAAGGUUUGCCCACAGAGUCAAUCUGAUAACUUCACAAGAGAGUAGUUCCCAGAUUGUCAUAACAGAAGACCAGCUAUCCUGAAUUAGACACUUCUACUUACUCCUGGCUUGUUACUGUUUCCAGUUGAUUGAUAUUUAUUUCACAUUCGUUGAAAUCAGUCUGGAACACAUGAGUUGACAUGGCUGACAAAAAUCUCAACUGCAACAACAAAAAUAGAUUUCAGUCCAAUUCCAGAACUGGAGUUUUGGUUGCUGACUUCUACUUCUAGUUUAUCACAAGGAUGGGCCCUACUAGACAGAUGACUUGAGUGCCUACACUGUGCCCAAGCCUGGCCGGUGCAUCCGUUGUUCCCAAAACUUACAAGCAAAAGUCAGUGCCUGACAUUCUUUUUAGAUUACAUGCUUCGAUUCUUUCUGUUCACUUUUUUUCCAUUUCUGUUUUCCAUUUUGAAAUUCUCAAUAUUAUAAACUCUGCUUAUAUCCUGACAAACCCUGACUAUAGCACAUUUGCAGAACUGUAAUAUUUCUAUUGUCUAAAUUUUAUAUUGCAUAGAAAAUGCUAAUAUCACGCAUUUAUUGAAAAAUAUGAUGACAGCAUGAUUUGUUAAGGUAAGAAAACAUGACAUGUUUCCAUGCAAUUUUAACAAGCUGUGUUUUAUUAGAGAAAACCAAAGAUUUUGUGAAAUUGUAUAUAGUUAGCAUUUUUAGUGAAAGAAAGACAUUUCACAUUAGCAUUAAGAACAAACUGGAAAACAUCCAUUUUUCCUCUUUUCCCUAAGACAAAAGCACUGAUUAACAUGAUCUAUAAUAUGCAUGUACACCAAUAUGUAAGUGCAUAUAUAUAUUUGUAUCUAUGUGUAUGUGUGUUCAUAAAUCC
rnacentral:lncRNA from 1 species